GAAGCUGACCAGACAGUCGCCGCUUCGUCGUCGUCCCUUCGGGGAGACGGGCGGAGGGGAGGAAAGUCCGGGCUCCAUAGGGCAGGGUGCCAGGUAACGCCUGGGGGGGAAACCCACGACCAGUGCAACAGAGAGCAAACCGCCGAUGGCCCACGUAAGUGGGAUCAGGUAAGGGUGAAAGGGUGCGGUAAGAGCGCACCGCGCGGCUGGUAACAGUCCGUGGCACGGUAAACUCCACCCGGAGCAAGGCCAAAUAGGGGUUCAUAAGGUACGGCCCGUACUGAACCCGGGUAGGCUGCUUGAGCCAGUGAGCGAUUGCUGGCCUAGAUGAAUGACUGUCCACGACAGAACCCGGCUUAUCGGUCAGUUUCACCU
rnacentral:RNase_P_RNA from 1 species